rnacentral:rRNA from 1 species
CGGAUCGUAAAACUCUGUCCUAAGGGAAGAAACAAAUGACGGUACCUUAGGAGGAAGCCCCGGCUAACUACGUGCCAGCAGCCGCGGUAAUACGUAGGGGGCAAGCGUUAUCCGGAAUCACUGGGCGUAAAGGGUGCGUAGGCGGCUUAGCAAGCCAGGGGUGAAAGGCAUUGGCUCAACCAAUGUAAGCCUUUGGAACUGUUAAGCUUGAGUGCAGGAGAGGUAAGUGGAAUUCCUAGUGUAGAGGUGAAAUUCGUAGAUAUUAGGAGGAACACCAGUGGCGAAGGCGACUUACUGGACUGUAACUGACGCUGAUGCACGAAAGCGUGGGUAGCGAACAGGAUUAGAUACCCUGGUAG